AGAGCUCUCUACUUUGUUCCAAUCAGGACCUCUACCUUGUCUGGAGCUGUGUUAUGGAGUCAGUGAAGUCCAACAAGAUAGUGAACACAUACUUGAGCCGGGAAAAGGAUAUGUGCUAUCCACGUGUCUGUGGUUCCUCGACCUGCCAUUAGCAUAAAGCACUUGUGAUCCCAUGAACACAGAAUUCUCCCAGCAUACCUGGGAGUUCCAGAGAUUGAAGAGCCAGUAAAAGAUAAGCAUUUUGAGUUUGCAACUGUGUGCUGAGAGACCACACUGUUUGUUUGAACUUGAAGUGCUUCAAAUAUAGAAAUAACACAAUGAAAGAAACAACAAAGCCAGA